rnacentral:misc_RNA from 1 species
CUGCUAGUUAUUAGCUUGGCC